CGUAGCUAACGCAUUAAGUGCCCCGCCUGGGGAGUACGGCCGCAAGGCUAAAACUCAAAGGAAUUGACGGGGCCCCGCACAAGCGGCGGAGCAUGCGGAUUAAUUCGAUGCAACGCGAAGAACCUUACCUGGGUUUGACAUAUAUCGGAAACGUUCAGAGAUGGGCGCCCCGUAAGGUCGGUAUACAGGUGGUGCAUGGCUGUCGUCAGCUCGUGUCGUGAGAUGUUGGGUUAAGUCCCGCAACGAGCGCAACCCUCGUCCAAUGUUGCCAGCGGGUUAUGCCGGGGACUCAUUGGAGACCGCCGGGGUCAACUCGGAGGAAGGUGGGGAUGACGUCAAGUCAUCAUGCCCCUUAUGUCCAGGGCUUCACGCAUGCUACAAUGGCCGGUACAAAGAGUUGCGAGCCUGUGAGGGUGAGCGAAUCUCAAAAAGCCGGUCUCAGUUCGGAUUGGGGUCUGCAACUCGACCCCAUGAAGUCGGAGUCGCUAGUAAUCGCAGAUCAGCAACGCUGCGGUGAAUACGUUCCCGGGGCUUGUACACACCGCCCGUCAAGUCAUGAAAGUCGGUAACACCCGAAGCCGGUGGCCUAACCCGUUUGGGGGGGAGCUGUCGAAGGUGGGACUGGUAAUUAGGACUAAGUCGUAACAAGGUAACC
rnacentral:rRNA from 1 species